rnacentral:rRNA from 1 species
CCUACGGGAGGCAGCAGUGGGGAAUCUUGCACAAUGGGGGAAACCCUGAUGCAGCGACGCCGCGUGAGCGAUGAAGCCCUUCGGGGUGUAAAGCUCUUUCGGCAGGGAAGAUGAUGACGGUACCUGCAGAAGCAGCUGCGGCUAACUACGUGCCAGCAGCCGCGGUAAUACGUAGGCAGCAAGCGUUGUUCGGAGUUACUGGGCGUAAAGGGUGUGUAGGCGGUUUGGUAAGUCUGGUGUGAAAUCUCCCGGCUCAACCGGGAGGGUGCGCCGAAUACUGAGGGACUUGGAGUGCGGGAGAGGAAAGUGGAAUUCCUGGUGUAGCGGUGAAAUGCGUAGAUAUCAGGAGGAACACCGGUGGUGUAGACGGCUUUCUGGACCGUAACUGACGCUGAGACACGAAAGCGUGGGUAGCAAACAGGAUUAGAUACCCUGGUAGUCCACGCCCUAAACGAUGCAUAUUUGGUGUGGGUCAUUCAGUUGAUCCGUGCCGGAGCUAACGCGUUAAAUAUGCCGCCUGGGGAGUACAGUCGCAAGGCUGAAACUCAAAGGAAUUGACGG